UACGGAGGGGGCAAGCGUUGUUCGGAAUUACUGGGCGUAAAGGGCGCGCAGGCGGCUGCUCAAGUCAGGCGUGAAAGGCCUGGGCUCAACCCGGGAAUUGCGCUUGAGACUGGGCUGGCUUGAGUGCGGGAGAGGAUGGUGGAAUUCCCAGUGUAGAGGUGAAAUUCGUAGAUAUUGGGAAGAACACCGGUGGCGAAGGCGGCUAUCUGGACCGACAUUGACGCUGAGGCGCGAAAGCGUGGGGAGCAAACAGG
rnacentral:rRNA from 1 species